rnacentral:rRNA from 1 species
GACGAACGCUGGCGGCGUGCUUAACACAUGCAAGUCGAACGGAAAGGCCCUGCUUUUGUGGUGUGCUCGAGUGGCGAACGGGUGAGUAACACGUGAGUAACCUGCCCUUGACUUUGGGAUAACUUCAGGAAACUGGGGCUAAUACCGGAUAGGAGCUCCUGCUGCAUGGUGGGGGUUGGAAAGUUUCGGCGGUUGGGGAUGGACUCGCGGCUUAUCAGCUUGUUGGUGGGGUAGUGGCUUACCAAGGCUUUGACGGGUAGCCGGCCUGAGAGGGUGACCGGCCACAUUGGGACUGAGAUACGGACCAGACUCCUACGGGAGGCAGUAGUGGGGAAUAUUGCACAAUGGGCGGAAGCCUGAUGCAGCAACGCCGCGUGCGGGAUGAAGGCCUUCGGGUUGUAAACCGCUUUCGCCUGUGACGAAGCGUGAGUGACGGUAAUGGGUAAAGAAGCACCGGCUAACUACGUG